rnacentral:rRNA from 1 species
ACGUAGGUGGCAAGCGUUAUCCGGAAUUACUGGGUGUAAAGGGAGCGCAGGCGGGAUAGCAAGUCAGCGGUGAAAUGCAUGGGCUUAACUCAUGAGCUGCCGUUGAAACUGUUAUUCUUGAGUGGAGUAGAGGCAGGCGGAAUUCCGAGUGUAGCGGUGAAAUGCGUAGAUAUUCGGAGGAACACCAGUGGCGAAGGCGGCCUGCUGGGCUCUAACUGACGCUGAGGCUCGAAAGUGUGGGGAGCAAACAG